rnacentral:lncRNA from 9 species
CAGUGAACCAACAUUUACUAAGUCUCUACUAUGUGCUAAGCCCAGUGCCAAGGACACCAGACCAACACAUCCCAUUCAGUUUCCAAGGAGCCCAUAACCAAACACUCAUAGUGUGACCAGAUGAAGUGAUUAAAUCUUUCCCCUGUUUUGCCCACUACCGACCACCUCGGGAGGGUCCUUCUCUACCAGUGCAGGUCUUUGGGUUUCCGUGAUGGAGAAUUUGAGAAUGGGCAGGUUUGAGAGGCCAUCCCCCUCAAAACACACACACACACACACACACACACACACACACGAGGCUAAAGGUCAGUGAUAAGAAAGAGGAGGAGGAAAAUCAUCUCAGAAAAAGGGGAACAGGGAGUUCUCUUCGUGGCUCAGCGGUUAAAGAACCUGACUAGGAUCCAUGAGGUUGCGGGUUCAAUCCCUGGCCUCACUCAGCGGGUUAAGGAUUCGGCAUUGCCUGAGCUGUGGUGUUAGUCACAGACAUGGCUUGGAUCUGGUGUGGCUGUGGCUGUGGCGUAGGCCGGCAGCUGUAGCUCUGAUUCAACCCCUAGCCUGGGAACUUCCAUAUGCCUCGGAUAUGCCCCUAAAAAGACAAAAGACAAAAAAUAAAUAAAUAAGAAUAAAAUAAAAGAAUAAACAGAAUAAGCAAGGAGGUAGGGAAAGAUAGAGACCUUAAAGAGAAAUCCUCUUUCAGCCCUUGUUUUCAUCAGCAUGAUUUUCCUUGGACUGACGUUUCUUUACCUGCCCAAGGGGUGAAAGGCUCAGGGAAAAGGGAGAAAGGAGUCCCCUCAAGCUUGCCUUUGAGCCAGGCAAAAAGGGGGCUCCAUGUGGUCCAGACUUUGGGAAAAAGAACUUUUGUAGGAUUUGAAGCAAAAGCCUGAUAGUAAUAGAGAGUGUGUAUUCACACAGUGCACACCUGUGCCUAUUACUUCUCCCUGAAAUCUGGUGCAAGGAUGAGUGGUCAGUGCAGUUAAGAAUAGAGGGUAGGGGAGUUCCCGCUGUGACUCAGUGGAUUAAGAACCUGACUCGUGGUGGUCCCGUUGUGGCUCAGCGGUAACGAACCUGAUCAGUAUCCAUGAGGAUGCACAUUUGUUACUGCAUGAGGAUCCCUGGCCUCAAACAGUGGGUUAAGGAUCUGGCCCUACUGCAAGCUGUGGUGUAGGUUGCAGAUGCAGCUCUGAUCCCACGUUGUCAUGGUUGUGGUGUAGGCUGGGAGCUGCAGCUCCGAUUUGACCCCUAGCCUGGGAACUUCCAUAUGCUGUGAGUUUGAUCCUAGAAAGAGGAAAGAAAGAGAGAAAGAAAAGAAAGAAAGAAAGAAAGAAAGAAAGAAAGAAAGAAAGAAAGAAAGAAAGAAAGAAAGACAGAAAGACAGAAAGACAGAAAGAAAGAAAGAGAAAGAAAGAAAGACAGACAGACAGAAAGAAAGAGAAAGAAAGAAAGACAGACAGACAAAGAAAGAGAAAGAAAGAAAGAAAGAAAGAAAGAAAAAAGAAAGAAAGAAAGAAAGAAAGACAGAAAGAAAGAAGAAAGAAAGAAAGAAAAAAGAAAGAAAGAAAGACAGACAGACAGAAAGAAAGAGAAAGAAAGAAAGACAGACAGACAAAGAAAGAGAAAGAAAGAAAGAAAGAAAGAAAGAAAAAAGAAAGAAAGAAAGAAAAAGAAAAAGAAAGAAAGAAAAAGAAAGAAAGAAAGAAAGACAGACAGACAGACAGGUGAAGGAGCAGUCAUCUCCCAGGCUGGGCCCCUGCCCUCUCUGCAGCUCACAGCAGGGGCUGGAGCCCUUAGGCUCUGGAGCAGCCUCUCCAGUUGCCCAAGUGCCUGGUUGCCAGCUGUUUCCAUCCUGGAGCAUUGCCUCCAGGGCUCUGAUGCAACACCACAGCCCUGCCCUGGGGAGAAGGAAUCGGGCGCUUCACACAGGGUCGGGCUCUUUUUUUCAGGUAACUGUAGAGAUUUCAAGUCCUGGAUGGAGCAAGGAGAGAAAAGUCUCCUAGGCCCUAUCGAGGCUUGUCUUCUCUUGGACCCUUGACCCGCCCCUCACUGGCCUUGGCCUUCAAGUUUGGGUAUACACUGGGCUCAGCGCAGCAUAUGGAGGUUCCCAGGCUAGGGGUGGAAUCAGAGCUAUUGCUGCCGGCCUACACCACAGCCACAGCAACGCCAGAUCUGUGACCUACACUACAGCUCACGGCAAUGCUGGAUCCUUAAUUCACUGAGCAAGGACAAGGAUCAAACCCUCGUCCUCAUGGAUACUAGUCGGGUUCAUUAACCACUGAGCCAUGAUGGGAACUCCAAAAUGCACAUUCUUCAGGGCCCACCCUAGACUUAUCUGAACCAGAAACUGGGGUGGGUGGAUGGGACAGCAGUGUUUUAAUAAGUUCUCCAGGGUUCUCUUGUGGCCCAGAGUUCUCUUGUGGUGCUGUCACUGCAGUGGAUGGAUUCUUGCUGCGGUGCGGGUUCAGUCCCUGGCCUGGGAACCUCCACAAGCCGUGAGCGUGGGUAAAAAACCCCAAACCAGUUCUCUGAGUGAUUCAGGUGCAUUCUGAAGUUUGGGAACCACUUCCCAGAGGAUCAGGGAGGGUCAUGGAGGGCAGAUCCUGUCCUGUCCCUUCAUUUUAGUGAGAGGGAAACAGAGGCAUUGUACAGAGAGCAGGACCUGGCUCAGGUGGCACAGAUAAUCAAGUGGCAGAGGGGACACUGGAAGUUAGACUACCUGUUUCCAGAGACACCCCCUCUUGCCUCGCCCCGCUCUUUCCUUUGACUCAGGCCGAUCACCCAAGUCCCUCCUGAUUCACUGUCACUGUCUGGAGGGUCACCGUGAUGCCCGGACCAUCAGGGCCGCCCACUCCCUGUGCCAGGCACCAUGCUCACCCGCAUUGGCUUGAUGAACCCUCACAACAUCCAGGCGGGCUGGCUCAAGUAUAACCCCAUUUUGCGGACCAGAAAACUGAGCCUAGAGAAAGGUCAGGACACUUGGUCACAGAGCAAGAAAGGGCUGAGACGACUCACACCAGUUUCCUGCCUCCAGAGCCUAGGCUGUAGCCAGCAGGACCACACCCAGGCUUGCAGGAAGGGCUCUUCUCUAGCAUCUUCUGCUGAGACACCUGAAGGGACAAAAAGCUCCUUAAGCAGGUAAAACAGCUGGCAAACAGCCAAGGCCUCGAAGCUCCUGCGUUUACUCAGAGCAGAGCGCCUGUUGCUUGGUGUGCCCACAAUUGUGCCGACCUUGUAGGGCAGGAGCGGGGUGGAUUAGAAGCAGUCCACCAGGGAAUUCCUGUCAUGGCUCAGCGGAAAUGCAUCCGACUAGGAAUCAUGAAGUUGCUGGUUCGAUCCCUGACUUUGUUCAGUGGGUUAAGGAUCUGGCGUUGCCGUGAGCUGUGGUGUAGGUCACAGACAUGGCUCAAAUCUGGUAUUGCUGUGGCUGUGGUGUGGGUUGGCAGCUACAGCUCUGAUUAGACCCCCUAGUCUGGGAACCUCCAUUUGCCUCAAGUGCAGCUCUAAAAAUAAAAAAGAAAAAUUAUACAAGCGUCUUAGCAGUCUGGCAUAUUUUAGAGGACAUUUGCAAGUCUCAAUUAAAAUUUCAUAACUCAAUCUUCAUAAUGUAUAUUACGAUUAGAAACUAUAGUAUAAAAUAUUAAGAAAGAUUUCAGUCUUUUUGUCUUUUUUUUGGCAGGGGAGGCUGCACCCACAGCAUAUGGAGGUUCCCAGGCUAGGGGUCAAAUUGGACCUGUAGCUGCCGGCCUACACCACAGCCACAGCAACGGGGGAUCCAAGCUGCGUCUGUGACCUACACCACAGCUCACAGCAAUGCUGGAUCCUUAACUCACUGAGCAAGGAUCCGGCGUUGCCAUGGGCUGUGGUGUAGGUUGAAGAUGCAGCUUGGACCCCGUGUUGCUGUGGUGUAGGCCGUGGCUCUGAUUCGACCUCCAUAUGCCGCUGGAAGCGGCCCUAGAAAAGGUAAAAAGACAAAAAAAAAAACCAAAAAAAAAAAACCCAAGAACUACCGUACGCUCCAGCAAUCCCAUUCCUAGUCAUAUAACUGGACAAAACUACAAUUCAAGAUACAUGAACCUGUAUGUUCAUAGCAGCACUAUUCACAGUAGCCCAGACAUGGAAACAACCUAAAUGUCCAGCAACAGAGGAGUGGAUUAAGAAGAUGCGGGGGAGUUCCCAUUGUGGCUCAGUGGUAACAAACCCACCUGGCAUCAACGAGGACACAGGUUCCAUCCUGGCCUUAACCCUCAGGGGGUUAAGGAUCCGUCAUUGCCAUGAGCUGCGAUGUAGGUCGCAGAUGAGGCUUGGAUCCCAUGUUGCUGUGACUGUGGUGCAGAACAGCAGCUACAGCUCUGAUUCGACCCCUAGCCUGGGAACUUCUACAUGCCGCAGGUGUGGCCCCGAAAAGCAAAAACAGAAACAAAAACAAGAUGUGGUACAUAUACACAGUGGAAUACUACUCACCCAUAAAAAGAAUGAAAUAAUGCCAUUUGGAGUAACAUGGAUGGAACUAGAGACUCUUAUACUAAGUGAAGUAAGUCAGAAAGACAAACCAUAUGAUAUUACUUAUACCUGGAAUCUAAAAUAUGGCACAAGUGAACCUUUCUUUAGAAUAGGAACAGACUCACGGACCUGGGGAACAGACUUGUGGUUGCCAAAGGGGAAGGGGGCAGGGAGUGGGAUGGACUGGGAGUCUGGGGUUGGUAGAUACACAGAAUUACAUUUAGAAGGGAUAAGCAAGGAGGUCCUGCUCCACAGCACAGGGAACUAUAUCCAGUCUCUUGGGACAGAAUAAGACAGGGAAUGAUAUGAGAAAAAGAAUGUAGGAGUUCCCAUUAUGGCUUAGGGGGUUAUGAACUCAACUAGUAUCUAUGAGGAUGUGAUAAGGAUCCGGCAUUGCUGUGGCUGUGGCGCAGGCCAACAGCUGUGGCUCCAAUUCCACCCUAGCCUGGGAACUUCCAUGUGCUGCAGGUGCUGCCCUAAAAAGCCAAAAAAAAAAAAAAAAAAAAAAACCCAAAAUGAUC